GGGGAUGUAGCUCAGUGGUAGAGCGCAUGCUUCGCAUGUAUGAGUUCAUGGGUUCGAUCCCCAGCAUCUCCA